AAUAGAUACCCAGGUAGUCCACGCCGUAAACGAUGAGUGCUAAGUGUUAGAGGGUUUCCGCCCUUUAGUGCUGCAGCUAACGCAUUAAGCACUCCGCCUGGGGAGUACGGCCGCAAGGCUGAAACUCAAAGGAAUUGACGGGGGCCCGCACAAGCGGUGGAGCAUGUGGUUUAAUUCGAAGCAACGCGAAGAACCUUACCAGGUCUUGACAUCCUCUGCCAACCCUAGAGAUAGGGCGUUCCCCUUCGGGGGACAGAGUGACAGGUGGUGCAUGGUUGUCGUCAGCUCGUGUCGUGAGAUGUUGGGUUAAGUCCCGCAACGAGCGCAACCCUUGAUCUUAGUUGCCAGCAUUCAGUUGGGCACUCUAAGGUGACUGCCGGUGACAAACCGGAGGAAGGUGGGGAUGACGUCAAAUCAUCAUGCCCCUUAUGACCUGGGCUACACACGUGCUACAAUGGAUGGUACAAAGAGCAGCGAACCCGCGAGGGUAAGCCAAUCUCAUAAAGCCAUUCUCAGUUCGGAUUGUAGG
rnacentral:rRNA from 1 species